rnacentral:rRNA from 1 species
CAAGGCGACGAUCAGUAGCCGGCCUGAGAGGGUGGACGGCCACAUUGGGACUGAGACACGGCCCAAACUCCUACGGGAGGCAGCAGUCGGGAAUAUUGCGCAAUGGAGGAAACUCUGACGCAGCGACGCCGCGUGAGCGAAGAAGUAUUUCGGUAUGUAAAGCUCUAUCAGCAGGGAAGAAACUGACGGUACCUGACUAAGAAGCACCGGCUAAAUAC